AUGGCCAUGGUUGGUGUGACCAGCAUCAGCAAUGCCAGGGCGGCAUGGACCAAGGUAUGGUCCACACAGGUUUGGAUUGCCAACGAAAGAUGUGGCAUUGAAGUAGCUGAACUGGCCGGUCCCUGGGACGAGCCCGGACAAGUUGUUGUAAGAGAAGUCGACCGCCGUCAAGCUCUGCAUUGUGGAGAUGGAUGGAGGUAUCUCUCCAUCAAGGUGGUUCUUGGACAAGUUGAGGUAGUUCAGUAUCCUCAUUCCAGAGAUGGCCGGAGGUAUCCUCCCAGAGAGGUUGUUCCGGCUCAAGUCCAAGUAAGUGAGCAGCCGGCAUUUCCCAAUCUCCGGCGGCACACCUCCCUCGAUCGCAUUGCCGCUAAGGUCAGCCUUGGAGAGCUCCUGCAGCCGCCCAACCUCGGCAGGCAACGCGCCGGAGAACGAGUUGCGAUCAAGCAGCAGCUUCUGAACACCAGAGAAGUUUCCAAUGGAUGCCGGCAAUGCACCGGUGAGCUGAUUGUUGGACAGGUUGAUCUCCCCCAGAUUAGGCGCCGCAGCGCCGACCACAGCAGGGAAGUCGCCGGUGAGGAGGUUGUCUUGCAGCUCGACCUGAGUGAGCUUCUGCAACUCGAAGAGCCCCUUGGGAAUGGAGCCGUUCAAGUAGUUCUCUCCCAGACGAAUACGGCUCAAGGACUUGCACUGGCCGAGGGAGUCAGGGAUGGAGCCGAACAAGGAGUUGCCGAGGGCGAUGAGCGUGUGCAGCUUGCCCCCGGCGCAGAGGUCCGGCGGCAGCGUGCCGGUGAGCCUGUUGGAGGAGAGGUCGACCAGCUGGAGGCGCUUGUUGGCGCCGAGGCGGCGGGGCACGCUGCCGGUGAAGUUGUUCUCCCAGAGCUGCAGCACCUCGAGGCUUGGCAGGUCGCCGACGAAGUCGGGGAUGUCGCCGCGCAGCUUGUUCCGGAACAGGUUGAGCAGCGUCAUGUUCUUGAGCUGGGAGAAGCUGGGCGGUAUCUCGCCGGCGAGCGCAUUGUUGGACAGGUCCAAGGAGCUGAGGCUCUGCAGGUUGCCCAGCUCCGACGGUAUGGCGCCGGUGAGGCCGUUCACCUGCAGGAACAGGGUGUCGAGUUUCUGCAGCCUGCCGAGCUCGGGCGGGAUCUUCCCGGAGAGGCCGCAGUUGGCGGCGUCGAGGCGCACGAGGUCGGUGAGGUUGCCGAGCUCCGGCGGGACCCCACCGGAGUAGGCGUUGUAGUAGCCAAUGUAGAGCUCCCUGAGGCUGGUAAGGUUCCCGAGCUCCGGCGGUAUCCUCCCGGACAGCUCGUUGCCGGAGAGCGCGAGGUACUGCAGCCGCGUCCACCGGCCGUACUCGGGGGGAAUCUCGCCGGAGAAGAAGUUGCCGCCGAGGUGCAGGUGGCGGAGCAUGGGCAUCUGCGCGACCUCGAGCGGGAGCGGGCUGGUGAGGUUGUUGUUGUAGAGGUCGAGCACGCGGAGGCCGCGGAGGCGCGCGAGGGCCGGCGGGAGGGAGCCGUUGAAGGCGUUGUUGGAGAGGUUGAGGUGGGUGAGGAAGCGGAGGUGGCCGAGCGCGGCCGGGACGGGGCCCGAGAGCGCGUUGGCGCCGACGUCGAGGCGGAGGAGGCCGCGCAGGCUGGACAGCGCCGGCGGGAGCGCGCCGGAGAGGUUGAGCCCGCCGAGGGCCAGCCCCACGACGGCCCCGCGCGCGCCGCACGCCACGCCCGCCCACGCGCAGUGCGCGUACCCGCCGCCGCCGCCCGUCCCGUUGCUCGCCGCCCAGGACGCGAGCGCGCCCGUGGGGUCCGACAGCGCCGCCUUGGCCGCCAGCAGCGCGUCCGCGUCGCCGUCCGCCGCGCCGCCGGCGGAGAGGCGGACGAGGAGGGCGAGGAGGAGGAGGAGCGGGGGGAGGCGGCGGAGAUGCAUUGGGGUUUCGGUUUGCUUCGCUCUCUCGGGGACGGGGGAGGAGGGGGCUCACGCUCCCGGCGAGGCCCGGAGAGUGGAGACAAAGACAGGGGGGAGUGUGAGACGGGAGGGUGGCUUUGGACACGAGGGUGCAGGGGGCUCGCCUAA
rnacentral:rRNA from 1 species